AGUGUAUAUGAUGUAAAAUGAUGCAAAACUUAAUUUGCUGUGUGGAAAACAACCUUGGAGAACUGAGCACUCU
rfam:Xenopus laevis strain J chromosome 4L, whole genome shotgun sequence.